CUGCCGUCAGGAUGGGGACAACUCCGCGAAAGCGGGGCUAAUACCCAAUGUGGUCGUCUCUCGCAUGGGAGAUUGUCCAAAGCUGGGGACCCUUCGGGGCCUGGCGCCUGAUGAGGAGCCCGCGUCCCAUCAGCUAGUUGGUGAGGUAACGGCCCACCAAGGCAUACGGGUAGCUGGUCUGAGAGGAUGGUCAGCCGCACUGGGACUGAGACACUGCCCAGACUCCUACGGGAGGCUGCAGUCGAGGAUCAUUUGCAAUGGGCGAAAGCCUGACAAUGCGACGCUGCGUGGAGGAUGAAGGCCUUCGGGUUGUAAACUCCUGUCUUUCGGGAACAAGGAACCAGUGUGAACAGCGCUGGGACUUGAUGGUACCGGAUGAGGAAGCCACGGCUAACUCUGUGCCAGCAGCCGCGGUAAUACAGAGGUGGCGAGCGUUGUUCGGAUUUACUGGGCGUAAAGGGUGCGUAGGUGGUUUCGUGUGUCGGGUGUGAAAUCCCACAGCCCAACUGUGGAACUGCAUCCGAAACUGCGGGACUGGAGUACGGGAAGGGAGAGCGGAAUUCUCGGUGUAGCGGUGAAAUGUGUUGAUAUCGAGAGGAACACCGGCGGCGAAGGCGGCUCUCUGGAACGAUACUGACACUGAGGCACGAAAGCUGGGGGAGCAAACAGGAUUAGAUACCCUGGUAGUCCCAGCCCUAAACGGUGUGCACUUGGUGUGGGGGGCGUUGACCCCUCCGUGCCGAAGCUAACGCGUUAAGUGCACCGCCUGGGGAGUACGAUCGCAAGAUUAGAACUCAAAGAAAUUGACGGGGGCCCGCACAAGCGGAGGAGCAUGUGGCUUAAUUCGAUGCAACGCGAAGAACCUUACCAAGGCUUGACAUGUAGCUGCAAGUCCCGUGAAAGCGGGAUUCCUUCGAGGGUGCUACACAGGUGCUGCAUGGCUGUCGUCAGUUCGUGCCGUGAGGUGUUGGGUUAAGUCCCGCAACGAACGCAACCCCUGUGCCUAGUUGCUACCCCCGAUGAUGAGUCGGGGGGCACUCUAAGCAGACUGCCCGUACAAGCGGGAGGAAGGUGGGGAUGACGUCAAGUCAGUAUGGCCCUUACGCCUUGGGCUGCACACGUGCUACAAUGACCGGUACAGAGGGAUGCAAGACCGCGAGGUGGAGCAAAUCCUUAAAACCGGCCUCAGUUCGGACUGAAGGCUGCAACCUGCCUUCAUGAAGCCGGAUUCGCUAGUAAUGGCGCAUCAGCUACGGCGCCGUGAAUACGUUCCCGGGCCUUGUACACACCGCCCGUCACAUCAUGAAAGCCGUCUGCACCCAACGUCGCCAUACAAACCCGCAAGGGAUGGAGGUGCCUAAGGUGUGGGUGGUGAUUGGGAUGAAGUCGAACAAGGUA
rnacentral:rRNA from 1 species